ensembl:snoRNA
GUGCAUCUCUUUGACAGACCUAAUGCAGUUAUAUCUGCUUUUAAGGUUUCCACUACGAUGCAAGGCAAAUUUUCCUUGCAUUUUUUCUCCACGUUAUUGUGGCAGUCUAAAUUGAAUAGGGGCAUACAAGA